AGGAAAAGAAACUAACAAGGAUUCCCCUAGUAACUGCGAGUGAAGCGGGAAAAGCUCAAAUUUAAAAUCUGGUAGUCUUUGGCUGCCCGAGUUGUAAUCUAGAGAAGCGUUAUCCGCGCUGGACCGUGUAUAAGUCUCCUGGAAUGGAGCGUCAUAGAGGGUGAGAAUCCCGUCUUUGACACGGACUACCAGGGCUUUGUGAUGCGCUCUCAAAGAGUCGAGUUGUUUGGGAAUGCAGCUCUAAAUGGGUGGUAAAUUCCAUCUAAAGCUAAAUAUUGGCGAGAGACCGAUAGCGAACAAGUACCGUGAGGGAAAGAUGAAAAGAACUUUGGAAAGAGAGUUAAACAGUACGUGAAAUUGUUGAAAGGGAAACGCUUGAAGUCAGUCGCGUUGACCAGGGAUCAACCUUGCUUUUGCUUGGUGUACUUCCUGAUUAACGGGUCAGCAUCAAUUUUGACCAAUGGAAAAAGGUGAAGGGAAUGUGGCAUCUUCGGAUGUGUUAUAGCCCUUGGUCGUAUACAUUGGUUGGGAUUGAGGAACUCAGCACGCCGCAAGGCCGGGUUUCGACCACGUUCGUGCUUAGGAUGCUGGCAUAAUGGCUUUAAUCGACCCGUCUU
rnacentral:rRNA from 1 species